AGUGAAAUCAGGUAGUCAAAUGAAAAUGGUGCCACUCUGCUAUAUUCUAAUGUCAAGAAGAAGGAAAAUUGAUUACAUAAAAGUAUUUAGAAAAUUGGUGGAAUUGUUAAACCGGAAGAACCGAAGGUUAAGUGUGCCACAAUGGACUUUGAAGCAGCAACAUGGAGGGCAUUUGAAAAGUAUUGCCGGACGUGAAAGUGAAACUAUUUCACUUUACCCAAGCUAUUUGGAGACGGUGUCAAGAGCUUUUGCAGAAAAAGUACAGGACACACAAAGGCACAUCAGAGUUUAUAAGGAAAUUAAUGAGUCUGCCAUUUGUACCAAAAUCCCACAUACUUGAAGUCUUCCAGCAACUUAAAGCCAAGACUACAUGCCCAGAUUUACUAGAAUUAACAGAGUAUGUCCAGGGACAAUGGAUGCAACACUCCAUUUUUAAAAUUGGAUCCUGGUCCGUAUUCAACCAGACCAUACGGACUAAUAACCACGUUGAAGGUUGGCACAGGAGAAUCAAUAACAAGGCUGGAGAGCAGAAGUUGGGGCUUUACAAAUUGAUAAAUUUUCUGUAUGAUGAGGCCCAGCUUCUGCCGCUCCAAUCUGCUUUGAUAUUUGAGGGGAAACUACCUCGGUAUUUACUAAAAAAAAGAACCGAAAGACAGGAUGAAAUUUUUAAUUCCUGGAAGGAAUACAAAGAAGGUAAUAUUAGUGUAUCUAUGCUGCUACGUGUAUGUGCAAGAGUACAUGGUCCGGUCCGGUCCAGUAGUUGAAGUUGAAGAUAUAUUGACCAAAUAUUUAUUAAAUUUUGUAAUAGUGUAAUCAAUAUAUAUUUGUAUGUUUUACAUCUAUAUUAUAUUUUGUAUGUUUUACGUAUUAUGUUAAAUCUCUGUUUUGUUGUACUAAAUGUUUUGUUGUAUUAA